rnacentral:lncRNA from 1 species
GAGAAUACAAUCACUACCAAUGUUUUGACUAUGGAAGUAUGAUGGAUCCUGAACCGAAUAGGUGUAGAAGAACCGAUGGAAAGAAAUGGAGGUGCAGCAAGAACACAGUACCUUAUCAUAAGUAUUGUGAAUGACAUGUGCACAGAGGCCGGAACCGUUCAAGAAAGCCUGUGGAAACAUCCAAAGUUAUUAACUCAAAUUCGAUAACAAAGCCUUGUAGCAAGCUACAUACUUAUUAUUCCCAACAAGUGGUAUCAAGAGCUUCGGUUCGGUGGGAUUUAUUCUUAGUAUGCUCUGUGGUUGCAGCCUAGUCUGACCUUCCACAUCAGAAAAGAAUUUUGUCCUGUGGCUUGAGGUUGAUCUUUGGUUGCUGUUGUUGUUGCUGGAAGGCAGUGUGACACUGUGAGAGUGCAGUUUGGAAAGGUUCUGGCUAAGGAUAGACCUGGUAUUUAAGUGUGUCCAUUGUGACCCACCUCUCUUUCCUGGGGACCCUUCAUAGUGCACGGUCUACAGUUGAGUUAUACUAUUCCAGUAUACGGUUGCAACAAUGUCAGGAUAUUCAAGUGCUGCGAAGCUUGAAAUAGAGAAAUUUGAUGGAAGAAUCAAUUUUGGCUUGUGGCAAAUACAAGUCAAGGAUGUGUUGAUACAAUCAGGUUUGCACAAGGCGUUGAAGGAGAAGAUCUCUGGUUGCUCUCUCUAUGAGAGAAGAUGAUGUUCUCUAGAAGACAAGAAGUAUCCUCAUGGUAUUACCGCACUGCCAUGGAUAAGGAUAAGUUGUGGCAAUCGGGUCCACAAUUGCACUCGGGCAUUGGUUGGCGUUGAGAUGCAAGGUGUGUGGCGGAGUUAGGUCGAUGGCUGAAGAACUUCCAGGAAAAGCCAAUUUGGAAGUUGCACCAUGAAUUUUCAGCAAGGUUUCGAUCUGUACCAAGGUGAAAUGCUUGGAGUGGUCUAAUUCCAAGUGAGUAUAUAGUCAGAAACACUUUAAGCUUGUAUCUGAUUUUUCUUUUCCUCUGUACUUUUUAUUAGAGAGUGUUGUGAGGUGUAGUUAGAUAUUUGCUUUGAGAGAGUGUUGGUGUACUGGGGUGCCGGUGAGAGAAAGAAGUCUAUGUGUUGUAACAAUUUUCACAUAGUGAUAUUCUCUGGUUGUCAUUUGACAACGGCCGUGGUUUUUUCUCCGGUAAUUGGAGUUUCCACGUUAAAUUCUUGUGUUGUGAUUGUGUUUAUUUUAUUUCUCUGUCAAAGGUGUUUUCUCAAGGGGGAAUGGUGUAUUAUUCCCAAAUUCGAUAACAAAGCCUUGUAGCAAGCUACAUACUUCCAUAGCCUCAAACACAAAAUCUGCUGUUUCAAUUCCAACACCUAAGGUAACAAACUUUGGCAACAGGACAUCGGUUGCUUCGGAUAACAGAAGUAGCCGAGAUUUAUGCAAGAAAGAUAACCAGAUCAAGAACUGUGUCGGCUACAGUAUCAGUGUUAUGAGUAGUGGUAAAGGAAGUGUUACCAAUGAUAGUAAUUGCAUCUCUGCCGGCAUAGGCUUCUCCCCAAGGAGUGUUCUCCAAGGUACUAUUCGUGACUUCGCAACAACUUCUGUUACAUAUUUUCACUUAAUAUAUUGUGUUGUUAGCUGCCAUUAAACAACAAAGUGCACUUUGCUGGGAUUUACCUAAUCCAACAGCAGAGUAGUUGCGAACGCCGAGCAUAUGUCACAUAUUUUUGCUUUGUUAUUUGAGAAUAUUUUAGGAUUAAUUUCAAUAGCACUAAUUCUGAUUUAGGACAACAUCCAAAUUAUACAUGUAAGAAAUUAAGAACAAGACUAAUCAUGAGGUUGAAGUUUGUUCAUUAGAAAAGCUGAUUUAACUUUGUUGUUUUUCUUUUACUGUGAUUAAAGUUUCUGGUUGCAAUAGUUCACACCACAACUACACAAACAGUACAGAGCUUGAACCAGGCAGGUGCCGGAGAACAGAAGGCAAGAAGUGGCGGUGCAAGAGUGCUGUUCUCCCUGGUCAGAAGUAUUGCACCACUCACGUGCACAGAGGAGCUAAAAGGCGUUGUUCCACAGAUCAUGAGCCAGUCACUACUCCUACUCCUACUUCUCGUUAUGCCAAUACCAAUUCUCGGCCGAUUUACUCUGCCGCGAACAGGACAACGAUAACCGAAGCUCGGAAAACAGUUUGCACAGUUCCCAACACAAAACUUUCUAUGUCAAUCCCAGCAAGUGCACCAUUGAGACACAACAAUGGGAAGAGUCCUAAUAGGAGCAGUGACACAGACACCACCAUCACUGACACCAUCAAUGAGUGUAGCUAUGCUUCUUUCUAAGAAGCAGUAUUUUCAAUUUCAUGUAUCUAAAACCUGUUUAAUGCUUUUUGUAUGAACAAGUUGGACUACUUAUUACUGUUUAGGCAUUUGAAUAUCAGUUUUGUGUAUAGUGUGAACAAUGAGAUCUUGAUGUAGGGGAUAUCUGAUGAAUCAAAUGUCUUACUUAAGCUUAAGCUUGUUCAUUUGAAUGAUGUGAAUUAAACAUUUUCAUAAUCAUCUUUUCUUGUUUGGAAUGUUUCUACCUUUAGUAGAUAAAAAAAUAAAGAGAAGAAAACUUUGAAAUAAAAUUUUGUGAUAUGAACAAUAAUUUGUACUAAACUACUCUUCCACUUUAGCCUAUGACAAUAAUAAAGAAGUCUCGUGUCCUACAAAUUAAGCCCAACAGAAUACAUAAAUUCAAUUAUAAUUUUAGUCUUUAUUAUCUUAUCUUAUCUUUUCUUUAUCUUAUCUUUAGUUCUUUAUUUGUUUUUAUCUUUCUUAAGCCAAUAUUCUAUAUAUAUUUAGUUUUACCUUCAUAAUUUACAAUUCAAUUCAAUUAAUCAACAAUCACUAAAAAUUUUAUUUUUUCUUUUCUUUUUCUAUUCUUUCACAAUUUUAUCAAUUUGUGAACUUUGAACUUUUAUAGUUGUAAUGCAUCUCUUCAACAUGACUGAUUUUUCUGAAAUCCUUGUUCCACUAAAAAGCAUUCAUUUAGCUACCCUCAGUAUAUCUGUAACAAAAAUUCUUUCCAAUAAAAUUAAACAAGAUUAGUCCAUGAAUUGAAUACAAAUAAUUAAGGAUUACUAGAAUUCGUAACUCGCAUUUUCUUAUUUGAUCUUUAUCAUUGUACAUUUAGGAGUAUAUAUGUGAAGUCAUAAAUUUGUCUAAGGAGCUUUGAAUUAUUAUGACUACAAUUCAUAUCAUAAGUAAAAAUUUAAAUUAGAAGGAUUGUUAUAUAUAUAUAAAGUUAUAUCAAUNNNNNNNNNNNNNNNNNNNNNNNNNNNNNNNNNNNNNNNNNNNNNNNNNNNNNNNNNNNNNNNNNNNNNNNNNNNNNNNNNNNNNNNNNNNNNNNNNNNNNNNNNNNNNNNNNNNNNNNNNNNNNNNNNNNNNNNNNNNNNNNNNNNNNNNNNNNNNNNNNNNNNNNNNNNNNNNNNNNNNNNNNNNNNNNNNNNNNNNNNNNNNNNNNNNNNNNNNNNNNNNNNNNNNNNNNNNNNNNNNNNNNNNNNNNNNNNNNNNNNNNNNNNNNNNNNNNNNNNNNNNNNNNNNNNNNNNNNNNNNNNNNNNNNNNNNNNNNNNNNNNNNNNNNNNNNNNNNNNNNNNNNNNNNNNNNNNNNNNUAGUACCCAUUUAUAAUUUAUAAUUUAUAAUUUAUAUUUUAUGAUUUAUAAUAAAAAUUAUUUUGUCAUUAAAUUUAGGACAUUAUUUAAAAACAAUUCAUGUAAAUUUAAUUUUUAACAAGAUGCAAUUAAUUUCUUCGAAAGAUAAGAUAUUAUAUCACUAGAAGAUCAUCUUAAAUAAAAUAAAAAUCAUAAAAAAAACCGUCAAACUGCAAAAUCUUCCAUUUUAAUUAAGGAACCAAGAUUUCUUAAUUACCUUGUGUUCCAAGCAACUUUACAAAACAUAAACCUUUCACUCGAUAGGGGUUUUCUAUUUUCAUCUAAUCAAGAAUUUUCUGUUAGUGUUGCAUUCUACUCAGUACGAUGUUGUGUGUUCCAAAGUCUUCAACUUUUGUUCCUCCCAAGAAAUCUUCAGAUGUUGCCAACAAAAGGGUAUUCAAAAAAAGAGUUUUUUCCUCUUCAGAAUUAUCCAGCCACGUUGAUGGAUUCAGCAACAACAACAACGGUAACAGAGUUGUUCUUGAUUCUUGUGCCAACAAGAGAGCUAAGGUGGAAAAGAGUGAAGAAAAUCCUAGGAUGAAGAAGGGUACUGCUACUGAUGCAGUGAAGGAACGUGAAGAGAAGAAGAAACCAAGUUCUUCGGGUAUGGAUGGAUUCAAGAAUAUGCAGUGUUCAGUAAUGCUGAAAAGGCUAUUGGUUCAUCCAGAUGGAGUGUAUUUCAAGAAAGGAAAGGCUUUGAUGGAUUUGGAGAGGGUUCAGCGAAAGUUAUGGAACAAUUUGUACAACAAAACUGAUCAAUUUGCUACUGAUAUCAGAAUGGUGUUUCGCAAUGUCAUGUCCCAGUACCCCUCAGGGCAUGAAGUUCAUCUAACCGCAGCGAAGUUAAGCGAUCUUUUCGAGACAAAGUGGAAGAAUUUGGAGGGAAGAUGGGUAGCUGAGAAGGAAAACAAGUUAGAGAAAGAAGAGCCAAAGCCAAAUUCAAAGCCUUUGAAAUCGAAUGCAGGGGAGAAAAGGAAACAAAUUUCUGGUUCAGAUUUUUCAAUUGCUAUUGCCAAAGCUAAAUUGAUAUUGGAGAAGAAGAGAACCAAUGAAGCUGCACAACAGAACAGAGUUUUCUUGCAAAGGAAGAAACAGAGGGAGAUGCUGCAGAAGAUGGAGAGAACAAUUUCCUUUGAUGAUGCUUUCAAGUCCUUUCAGGAUUUGGAAAACUUGUGUGGCCAUUCACUGACACAUUAUUGCACAAAGGAAAAUCCAUUGUUGAAGAACCUCACAGGUUUGGUUCUUAGGGAAGAAGAUUUUGAAGACGACAACUUUCUUAGUGAGGAUUUGGAAGAAGGAGAAAUUUUCUGAUAUUGGUCAAUUUUAAUUUUUGAGUAGUAUUUGAUUGUAGUUAAUUUGGAAUUGACUUGAAACAAUUGUAAGUAUUAUUAUGAUAGCAUCAAUGACAUUGUUUAUAUUCAUCAAUGUUAUUCUCAUCUGUGCUACCUCCUUUACUGCGUGAACUAUCAAUUGGAGGCCAUUAAGCACAUGCAACAGAGUUGCCUCAAAUAUUUACACAUCUCACGUUGUUCCUCCCACAUAUGGUUUCCACUUUCCAGUGAGUGCUAUUCCCCCAUCUUCAAAUCAGCUACAGCGAGAAACUGGUGAGCUUUGAAGCAUUCAUGAAUACAGCGUGUGUGUGAAGAGCCUCCCAAAGGAAGGUUGGAGUCUCUCACAGUUGAUGUUGGAAUGCAAGGGACUUGCCCACCUCACCUCCCUCCAAACUUUAACUAUUCUGUUUUAUAAUAAUAUAUAUUUGAACGUAUUUAGUAAGAAAAUGUGACAAAUUUAAACUUACUUGAAAGAGUUUUCGAUAAUUGGUAUGAGAGAUUAAGAAAUAAAAAGUAAUAGAGUCUUAUGUAGCAUGCAUAAGUAGGACAAAUAAUAUAGUAGUAAGAGUAUUAACAUGUAUAAGUUGUAAAAUUUUAAUAUUUGUAAAUGAAAAUUUUCAUAAUUAUUAUUAUUAUUAUGACACCUUUAAUGUAUAUAUUUAUUGUAUUUAAUUAGUAUUUUUAUGUUUUAAUUGAAUAAUAAUAGAUAAAAAAAAUUUCUUUUAUUUUUUUAAAAUCUUUCACUAGAAGAUGAUUGGUUGAUUUCCAAAUUUUGCCAAGUAAACAAAAUUACUAACAUGACAUCGUUAGAAAAAAAAAUAUGGCUUAAACACAAUAUAGAAAAACUUAGGUAUUAAACUUUUAUAUAUAAGAAUAGAUAGAUAGAUAGAUGCUAUAUCAAAGUCUGUUUUGUAUAGUUGUUGCAAGGUUUUUGUUGAUUCUUGAUGUUCAAAAAAUAAGACUAUGCAUCUAUAAGAAACCAAAACACAUGCAUCUAGCAAAGAUAUCAAACUAUAAGCUAUGCUCUAACUUAAAACAUUCUUAUCACUGAAGAUGAUUGUUUUGUGCUGCUUGGAAAUUUCUUUGCUGAAAAAAUUAGAAGACUAGCAAAAGACACGGAUUCAUACAAAUACAUGAUUAAUGAAUAUUUGAGACACUACACAUUAAAGAGCAUAGAGCAUUUUCAGAAACAAGCAUUGCACUCCAUGAAUAUGAUUCUAUGCACUUGCAUAUCUCGGAAACAUGUUUAGUGAUGACUACACUAUACACUAUCAAAGUGAUUCUAUGAAUCAGAAGUCAAGUACUCAUAGUCACUAGUCAGUAUGUAUAGAAUUUCCUGUCUAAUCCUUAUUUAUGUUAAGGUAAAAGAGAAAAAUACAAGAUUCGAUUUCUUUAGAGUGAACAUGAUUAGGUUAAAUAUCAACUGCAAAAUACAUCACAAAUUCCAGUUUAUUUUGGAAUUUGCUAUUCCUGAUGCCAGUCUCCUUCCCUUGCUUUGCUCCCUUUCAAAACUUUCAUUUGCAAUCCAAUAAACUCUGCCAUGUUACAAAUAUCCUCAGAGCUAUUCUGAGCAUACCCUGAAAUUAAUGAAUUCCAUGCUAUUAUCUCUCUAUGGUUAAUCUCCUCAAAAAUUUUCUUCGAUUCUUGAACAGAUUCAAACUUGGAAUACAUGGUAAUAAGGCUAUUGGAGACAUUUGGUUCCGACAAGAAGCUGCUUUUGAUGCAUAAUCCAUGAAUCAUUUCACCUUCCACCACCAGAUUAUUGAGUGUAAUAGAAUGCAAUAGUCCUAUAAAUGUAAUAUCAUUUGGAUAUACACCAUCUUUUCUCAUCUCAUUGAAAAGAGACACUGCAUCUUCUUCUUCAAUUGAAAUCAUUGUCGUCCAAGAGACUACAUUGCGAUUAUUCAUCAGCUGAAAAACUAGUUUUGCAUCUCUGCCGACCUCACACUUCAAAUAAGUCGAGAUCAACACAUUGCAAACCGAAACAUGUGUUCCAUACCCCACUUUAAGUGUCAAACCAUGUAUCUGCCUCCCUAGCUCUAAGUUUUUCAUAUAACCACAAGCUGAAACUGCACCUGUAAACGAGACAUGGUCAAGGGACAUCCCUUGCCUAACCAUGCUAACAAACAGUGAAACUGCUUCCAGCCCAUAACAUUCCCCCUCUUGAGCAUAACCCGAAAGCAUUGCACUCCAUGAAACCAAAUCCUUCCGGGGCAUCUCAUCAAACACCCUCCUAGCCUCAGCUAAACUCCCUGACCUUGAAUACAUGGUUAUCAGAGCAUUCCCUACGAAAACUUCACAAUUAAAUCCAAAUUUUGCAACAAGAGAAUGCAAUUGGCUCCCAAAACAAAACCCAUGAUCACCCCAACAAAAGGCAAGAGCAGUGGUGUAUGUCACAGGAUCAAACACGAUCCCAUUUGAAUGCAUAGAACAAGCAAAAGUCAAAGCAUCCAUGUUCUCCUCGAAACCUGAAAGCACAGUGUUCCAAGAAACAAUGUCAGGGCAACUCAAAUUCUCAAACACAACCCACUGGACACUGCAAAACCAUGGAGUUGGCACCCAAGUUUCAGCUCUCCUUGACAAGCCUUGAGAGCCAAGGCAACACCGACCUCAUCAACACAGCUGGAACUGGGUCUUGAAUACAAACAGGGCACGAAAGGGAAGGUUGUUGUGCAAAAGGGUAAGCAUGGAACGCUUAAUCGAUGCAACUUUUGGGUGAGGAAUAUGAUCGAACACCUGGUGUUCAUGUUUGAGUGAGUGUAAAAACUUCGACCCAAGUUCAUUAUAUGUCUUCCAAGCUGAAAGUUGAGCCAAAUCAACUGACAAUCUAUAAUGAUUAAUGAGUAAUGACUAAGAAAUGAGAUGUAAGACAAAAUGGCGUCGCCCGGACUCGAACCGGAGACCUUCAGUGUGUUAGACUGACGUGAUAACCAACUACACUACGACACCUGUGCUAUAAACGUUUCUAAUUUUUGUUUAAUUAUUAAUACAGAGUUGAUCAAUUGCGAUGGACUAGAUUUGAUUAUUUGGUUUAGAUCGAACUAUUUCAUUACAACAUAAAUCUCAUUAUAUUUUUCAAUCAUGUUUUAUGCAGUGAAAAUCAACUAACUAUAUAAAAUAUAUGUUAAAAUAUAAAAUAUAUAUUAAAAAUAUGUAAAAUAAUACAUGUAUAUACACAUAAUUAUAUGAUAAUUAUUUUUUGUAUAUAUCUUUUUAUGAUGAUCAAAUUUUUAGAUCUUAAUUAAAGAGAAAGCAAUUAAAGUAUAUAAAAAAUGAACAUUCAGAUUACCAUUGAACAAUAAUAUUAAAUUUAUUUACGCAAAUUGUAGAGUACACAAGUAAUUGGUGUUAUGUUACGAUGUACUAAAGAUUAGUGGGCUGGACUCGUUAGGUUGGCCCAAUCGUCUGAGGAUGGAAGCCUCCGAGUAGGUUUGUGCUCUUGGGCCUCCGUCCGACUUGUGCGCGUGAGAAAAUAGGGGUGGUACCUGCAAAGACACUCUAAUGCCUAAGUCAGCAAGGGGCUAAGCAGGUUUAUAAUGUAUUGGGACUUAGUGAUACCUGAGGGGUGUCAGUGUAUUUAUAGUGGUGAACCAAUAACCACCGUUGAAGUAGUUCCACCUUUUAAGGGGGAUAACCGUCCCUUUGUCUAAGGGAAGUUGAGAUAUGGCUCCUGGAAGUGGGUUGAGAGAUUCUAGGGGCAAUUACCUAUUUGAAUGAGUGUUAUCUGCCAGCUAACCCUCUUUACCGACUUCCUUGCGUUGAAGCCGACCCCUUACGAGGAGGUCGGUUGCGGGGGAAGAUCAACCUCAUAGAUUGGGCCUUUUUAUAUUAUUUGGAUCUGUGCCUGGUCAUUGGGUCAGGGUAUCAACAGUGCCCCUACUCGAGUCCAAAAUCUUUGUGAGUUGGGCUCGAGUAUGCAGCUUGGGACUCUAGCCGACGUGUUGAGGAACCGACGUGAUUUUCAGGAACCGACGUGAUUUAAGUUUUUCAACCGUCGCGUCUAAUCAAACGUCGCGUCUCUUCGGGGGUUUGAGCAUUUACACACGGGGAGCAGUUACAUUGGUAACGGUGCACCUCUUAAAUGGUUACGUCGUUUUACCUUUAUGUCCCUAACAUGUUUAUAAAUACUUUUUCCUCUCUUCCCUUGUUUUGUUUCUGAAGACUUUAUCACUCACACACUCUGUUCUGGAGAAAGCUUCGUUUUUCUUUGGUCAACUGUUGUUGUACCCGUUACUUCGAAAGUAAAGGUCAGUUCUUUUCUCUUCUCCUCUUUUACAAAUGCUUUUAUUUGCAUGUUUUUGUUUAGAGGAGUGUUGACUGUAGUUCUAGCGAUUCUGCUGGUUUGAAAAACUUGCCUCAGACCCUCAGAGACCCUAUUUUGAUUCUUUUUCUUUUUUUUUGUAGGAUUCGUCACCCUUUUUUAAAAAAGAUGUCUACCCUAGAGUCUCUUUCAUCAUGGGUUGAUGGCACUGUUCUAGGGGAGAGCCCUCUGGUAGAUACCGAUUAUCUUACUGAUUUCUGUACUCAUCACAGAGUCUGCAUUCUUGAUGAGGACAAGCCGAAGUACGAACUGGUUGCCCCGGAUCCGGAAGACCGGGUUUGUUUUGGGAGAGCAUCUGACGCAGACCCUUAUUUUUUCUUUAUGUAUGAAAGCCUGUUCACCUGUUUGGGUGUUUUUCUUCCUUUUUCCGACUUCGAGAUAGCCGUUUUAUCUCAUUGUCGUGUUUCCCCUACCCAACUUCACCCCAACUCUUGAGGUUUUCUGAAAAUUUAUCAAUUCAUCAGCCAUGCACUAGAUUUUUCGACCUCUUUGAAGAUUUUCUUUUUCCUCUUUCACAUGACCAAGCCCUUCAGUGGGCAAAAUAACAAGCAGCAGUGGGUGUAUUUCCGGGCUAUACAAGGCCGGAGAGUUUUUACUCUCUUCGAUGAAUCCUUUCAUGAUUUAAAAACUUCUUUUUUAAAGUUCGAGCUGUAGAGGGUCACCACCCCUUUUUUCUGGAUCAAAAUUUAUCUCCUCGCUUUCCCCUGUACUGGUUGGAGGCUUCUCCAGUGGAAAAAUAUAGUUUGGAUGCCCUGGAUGAGGUGGAGGUGGCCAUUGUGGGAUUUUUCCGAGAAGUGUGGGGGAGAGCCCCAUAUCUUGAUACGAAAAAGUUCCUCCAGGGGUCUCCGACCUUUGUGCAGGCCCAGAUAGGUAGCUUUACAUUUUUUGUUCGUUUUAUUGCUGUUUUCCAACCUGAUUAACAUCCGAGUUGUUUGUUCCGACUUGUAUGUUGAUUCUUCUAUUUCCUAAUGGUUUUUUGCAGAAAUGACGAAGAAUAAUUCUAGAGAGUCCUAUCAGAGAGUUCAGGAGGCCAAAUCGAGGUCUCGCGCGAGGGUUGUUGCUGCCAGGGCUGCUGGCCCUCCUCCUCCUCCUCCUCCUCCCCCUCCUUCUUCUCCUCACAACUUGGGGACCCCCUCCCAACCUAUUGUUAUAUCCUCUUCAGCCUCUUCUCUUCCAUCCCCUCCACCCCAAUCUUCCCCUGAGCCAGAGAAGAAGAAGUGCAAGACUUUAGAGUCUGGCUCUUCUUUUGAGGGUGAGGCCAAGUCUAAUGCGCCUCAGUUUGUUCGGAAUCAUAUCUAUCCUCAUACUCGUAUAAGUAUGGAUGAUGCUUCCAUCCAAAACCACCUUAAUGUUCUGGUUCAGGGGAGUGUCAGGGCGGCGGGGGUGUGUACAAAGCUUCUGGAUAUUUUUGAGAAGACUCCCCUCAGCUCUUUGGGUUCAUCCCUGAAGGUUGAGGAGCUAGAGGGUAGAAUUUUCUUAUAUCAAGAAGAGGAAAAGCGGUUGAAGGUGGAGGUCGCCAAGUUGAAGGAGGAGAGGGAUCGUCUCCGGGAGAGGGAUAAGAAGUUGCUGGGCUAGUGCGCCAUGGCGGAGGGCCUGAAGGAGAAGGCAGAGCAGAGUUAUAUAAGUUUGUUUGGGGAUCACGUGGACCUGAAGAAGGAGUUAGCGAGAUGUCGGGAGGCCUAUUUGGAUCUGGAGGACUCCAUUGCUGAGGGAGCCGAGGAGGCAUGGAGGAACUUCAAGGAACAGGUCGGGGUUAUUACUCCAGACUUGGAUAUUUCUCCUCUGGAUCCUGAUAAGAUCGUGGUUGAUGGGGCCAUUGUUUCUCCUCCCCGACCUGUUUCCGAAUCCGAGCUGAAGACUCGGAGGCAGAUGAUAGUGGAAUCCCCUCCCCGAUCAGAAGAUGCCCCGAGUUCUUCAAAGGCUCCUGAGAAGAGUCCCGAUCAACUUGCUCCAUCUUCCAUUGGUUCUGAACAUCAAGUUUAUAAGUUGAGUUUCACUAUUCAAGUUUACUUUUCAUGAAUUUAGGUGAACUCUUGAGUUUGAUUAGUUUGCUUAUAGGUAUAUGUCUAUGUUAUUUUGAACUUUUAGUUUCUUUCCCCUUUCCCCUUUUAUUCAUUACCUUAAUUUGGAUGGUGGUUUAUUAGAGUACCUCAUGUUAGAUUGUCUUGGAAUGAAUUCAUUGUUUCAUUUGGACUUAAUUAAUGAUAAAGUUUUGUUUUGUGCUUUUUAUUUCAAGAAUUUAGAAAUAGUUUCAGGUUAUGUUUGGUUUAUAAUUUGAAAAUUAUGGUUUAUUCCAACCAAAAUCACUACUUUCUAUUCUAAGCCAAAUCAUGUUUUAAGACUAAAAAACAUGUUAAAAUGUAAUAUAUCAACAUGGUUUUGCCAAAUUUGUUGAAAUGAAUUAAAAUUCAGUUUGCACCUUCAAGUCACUAUUUUAGGUGUGAAGACAUUCUAAAUUUGCUAAUUUUUAUGCCAAGAAUGUGAGAUUUUAUGAAGACAUUCUAAAUUUGCUAAUUUUGUUCAUUUCUGUGUCAGGAGAAUACAAUCACUACCAAUGUUUUGACUAUGGAAGUAUGAUGGAUCCUGAACCGAAUAGGUGUAGAAGAACCGAUGGAAAGAAACGGAGGUGCAGCAAGAACACAGUACCUUAUCAUAAGUAUUGUGAACGACACGUGCACAGAGGCCGGAACCGUUCAAGAAAGCCUGUGGAAACAUCCAAAGUUGUUAACUCAAAUUCGAUAACAAAGCCUUGUAGCAAGCUACAUACUGCCAUAGCCUCAAACACAAAAUCUGCU